rnacentral:rRNA from 1 species
GAUGAACGCUGGCGGCGUGGCUAAUACAUGCAAGUCGAGCGAACAGACGAGGAGCUUGCUCCUCUGACGUUAGCGGCGGACGGGUGAGUAACACGUGGAUAACCUACCUAUAAGACUGGGAUAACUUCGGGAAACCGGAGCUAAUACCGGAUAAUAUAUUGAACCGCAUGGUUCAAUAGUGAAAGACGGUUUUGCUGUCACUUAUAGAUGGAUCCGCGCCGCAUUAGCUAGUUGGUAAGGUAACGGCUUACCAAGGCAACGAUGCGUAGCCGACCUGAGAGGUUGAUCGGCCACACUGGAACUGAGACACGGUCCAGACUCCUACGGGAGGCAGCAGUAGGGAAUCUUCCGCAAUGGGCGAAAGCCUGACGGAGCAACGCCGCGUGAGUGAUGAAGGUCUUCGGAUCGUAAAACUCUGUUAUUAGGGAAGAACAAAUGUGUAAGUAACUAUGCACGUCUUGACGGUACCUAAUCAGAAAGCCACGGCUAACUACGUG